rnacentral:rRNA from 1 species
CCUACGGGAGACUGCAGUGAGGAAUAUUGGUCAAUGGACGAGAGUCUGAACCAGCCAAGUAGCGUGAAGGAUGACUGCCCUAUGGGUUGUAAACUUCUUUUAUAUGGGAAUAAAAUGUUCCACGUGUGGGAUUUUGUAUGUACCAUAUGAAUAAGGAUCGGCUAACUCCGUGCCAGCAGCCGCGGUAAUACGGAGGAUCCGAGCGUUAUCCGGAUUUAUUGGGUUUAAAGGGAGCGUAGGCGGAUUGUUAAGUCAGUUGUGAAAGUGUGCGGCUCAACCGUCAAAUUGCAGUUGAAACUGGCAGUCUGGAGUACAGGAGAGGUGGGCGGAAUGCGUGGUGUAGCGGUGAAAUGCUUAGAUAUCACGAAGAACUCCGAUUGCGAAGGCAGCUCACUGGACUGCAACUGACACUGAGGCUCGAAAGUGUGGGUAUCAAACAGGAUUAGAUACCCUGGUAGUC